CCUAGGGAGGCUGCAGUGGGGAAUAUUGGACAAUGGGCGAAAGCCUGAUCCAGCCAUGCCGCGUGUGUGAAGAAGGCCUUCGGGUUGUAAAGCACUUUCAGUGGGGAAGAAAGCCUUGGGGCUAAUACCCUCGAGGAAGGACAUCACCCACAGAAGAAGCACCGGCUAACUCCGUGCCAGCAGCCGCGGUAAUACGGAGGGUGCGAGCGUUAAUCGGAAUUACUGGGCGUAAAGCGCGCGUAGGCGGUCUGAUAAGCCGGUUGUGAAAGCCCCGGGCUCAACCUGGGAACGGCAUCCGGAACUGUCAGGCUAGAGUGCAGGAGAGGAAGGUAGAAUUCCCGGUGUAGCGGUGAAAUGCGUAGAGAUCGGGAGGAAUACCAGUGGCGAAGGCGGCCUUCUGGACUGACACUGACGCUGAGGUGCAAAAGCGUGGGUAGCAAACAGGAUUAGUACCCGAGUAGUC
rnacentral:rRNA from 1 species